CCAAUAGCGUAUAUUAAAGUUGUUGCAGUUAAAAAGCUCGUAGUUGAAUUUCGGGAUCAAUAUAUCGGUCGUGCCAUUGGUACGUACUGGUAUCAUUGGUUUCUCCUUUCUGACGAACCAUGAUGUCAUUAAUUUGGUGUUAUGGGAAGUUAGGACUGUUACUUUGAAAAAAUUAGAGUGUUUAAAGCAGGCUUUAGCUU
rnacentral:rRNA from 1 species